UGUGGGAUAGUUAUGGACGGUGCGUCCUCUU
rnacentral:piRNA from 1 species